UCCAGGAGAACAAAGCUAGAGCACCCAUUGCAUCCAGGGUCAGCAUCUCCCCCAAGGUCAGGGGGAAAGGGCUUUGGGGAGGGACUCUUGGCACACACCAGCAGAGAGUGCCACACACGUUAGAUGCUCAUGGGGGACUAUAGGGGAAGCCACAAACCACCAGAGAUGAGGGCUAGGGCAAAGUGGGGGCAGGGCAUCUCCCUCAGGGGUCCUGGUGCCACAUUUUGGACAGGCAAGGCACCCACCACAUGCCCCCCCACCAUACCUUCUGACUCUGCAGCUCACACCGUUGCAAAAGCAGCUUGCAGACCUUGCUGCGCUUCCGGAUCAGCUCCUGCUUGGAGGCUGACAGCAGGAGGCCCUAGGGGUCAAGGGUCCCGAUGAUGUCGAACCAUACCAGGCAGCCCUUGUAGUCAUAGCCGCGCAGACCACCCGAGUCAUACAGCUGGAUCACCUGGACGAAGGGAGAGGUCCUGUCUCAAAGCAGCCCAUCAGGCCAUGUCCUUGCUCCAUUGGGCAGCCAGAUAUGGUCAAAGUUCUGGGCUGCAAGAAGAAGCUGAAGUACGAGGAGGCUUGAGGCAGGAUGUAGAAUCAAAUGUACCCAGGCCUCAUAAGGUAACUUUCACUCUUUCAUAUAUUUUAUUUUAUUUUAUUUUAUUUUGUCUUUUGUCUUUUUUGUUGUUGUUGUUGUUGUUGUUGUUGCUAUUUCUUGGGCCACUCCCGUGGCAUAUGGAGGUUCCCAGGCUAGGGGUCAAAUCGGAGCUGUAGCCACCGGCCUACGCCAGAGCCACAGCAACCGGGAUCCGAGCCUCGUCUGCAACCUACACCACAGCUCACAGCAACGCCGGAUCGUUAACCCACUGAGCAAGGGCAGGGACCGAACCCGCAACCUCAUGGUUCCUAGUCGGAUUCGUUAACCACUGCGCCACGACGGGAACUCCCUAUUUUAUUUUAUUUAUUUAUUUUUUGCUUUUUAGGGCCAUACUUGUGGCAUAUGGAAGUUCCCAGGCUGGUGGUCUAAGUGGAGCUACAGUUGCUGGCCUACGCCAC
rnacentral:lncRNA from 1 species